UAAACUAAAUUACUUGUCUUGAAUUAGAAAUAAAUAGACAAUAGGGUUCGUCCCAUCCAAUCCAUUAAACAAAUUAGCCUAACAUAAUGUUGGAAUUAAACGCAUAAAAAUAGAAUGACAUCAUCGAGAAAUAGACGAAACGUAAUUGAUUCAAUAGAAUGACAUCAUCGAGAAAUAGACGAAACGUAAUUAAUUCCAAUAGUUCGGGUCUUCCUCGUGUUUGCCAUCUUCGUAUCUCUUGAUUUCUGCCUUUGUAAUUUCCCUUUUUAAUUCCCCGGCAGUAGGUAGCUCGUGUAUCUUCGGCUCUCUCAUGUGAAUGUAAAUCCAACCAAAAACAGCCGCAAUUUCGUGUUUGAAUCUGUAUCAAUUCUGCCUUCCUGUGGGUAAUUAUAUAAUCUUCAGCAAUAUGCAACCCUAUUAAUUCCCUCACGUGUAUAUAUAUUUAAUUCUGCAGUGGGCAAAAUUUUCCCCAGUUGGCAUGUAUAAUUCUCCUUCCGGCUGCCGUUCCCAAUUAAUGUGUAACUAUCCUUC
rnacentral:lncRNA from 1 species